rnacentral:tRNA from 1 species
AGGUUCUAUAGUAAAAUUAUAACGUUAGAUUGCAAAUCUAAAGAUGUGGGUGACACUGGAACUUA